GACGAACGCUGGCGGCAUGCCUAAUACACGCAAGUCGAGCGAACAGAUGAAGUGCUUGCACCUCUGACGUUAGCGGCGGACGGGUGAGUAACACGUAAGGAAUCUACCUAUAAGCGGGGGAUAACAUUCGGAAACGGGUGCUAAUACCGCAUAAUAUCUUCUUCCGCAUGGAAGAAGAUUGAAAGACGGCUCUGCUGUCACUUAUAGAUGACCUUGCGGUGCAUUAGUUAGUUGGUGGGGUAACGGCCUACCAAGACGAUGAUGCAUAGCCGACCUGAGAGGGUGAUCGGCCACAUUGGGACUGAGACACGGCCCAAACUCCUACGGGAGGCAGCAGUAGGGAAUCUUCCGCAAUGGGCGAAAGCCUGACGGAGCAAUGCCGCGUGAGUGAAGAAGGCCUUCGGGUCGUAAAACUCUGUUAUAAGAGAAGAACAAAUUGUAGAGUAACUGCUACAGUCUUGACGGUAUCUUAUCAGAAAGCCACGGCUAACUACGUGCCAGCAGCCGCAGUAA
rnacentral:rRNA from 1 species